AGGGAUUAUACAUGGUAUUAGACCAAAAUACGCUGCCAGCUUCAAGAUGGAACUUCUAUAUUCGUAGUUUGCUCCAAAUUCAUACUUUAUUUAUGCAUGCUAUCGAAUUUUUCAACAAAAAUACAGAAUUAGGAUAAUAUAGAAUUGAAGAUAAAUCAAAGUGUUUCAUAGUUUGUUGUGUCUGUGCGCGGUGGAAAAGUAAUUCUAUACUGGCUAAUUAUCUCUUUCGGAAAACGCACUUUGCCUAGCCUUUUGUAAAAUAAAACGAUCAUACGUCACCGUCAAUCAUUCUGAUGUAAACACCAGCCUAUCAGAUAAGAUAGUACUGCCUUUUCCAGUCCCUUCUUAAGACACAGACGAGUUUUCCUUGACAAGUUCAACCCACUGGUUCAACCUCGUUCACAGGGUCUUUCCUCUUGUGGAGAAAAGACCCUGCAUGGUAGACGCUGGUCCCGUGAUCUGCUAAAAUUUCGCGGAUUUCUAAUUAACUAUCUUGGAUUCCUUUACGACAAUCACGCAAAAUGCAAAUUAUAAAUUAAACUAUAAAAAAUAUCCAAAUAUCAAAUAUUUAUUGACCUCGUCUUGGAUUGCUAAUUAAAAAUCUGCUAUAGAUUUUAGCAGAUCAUGUGACCAGCGUCUACCAGGAUCUUUUCUCCCCUCGCCAAGAGGAAAUACCCUGGGUUGGUGGUUGUGACAAGUUUCCCUUGACGAAUUUCCUUGACAACUUUGCCUUCUCGUGCGUACUGUCAAAAGGUUUUCCUUGACAAAUUUGCCUUCUCGUGCGUACUGUCAAAAGGUUUUCCUUGACAAAUUUGCCUUCUCGUGCGUACUGUCAAAAGGUUUUCCUUGACAACUUUGCUUUCUCGUGUGUACUGUCAAAAGGUUUUCCUUGACAAAUUUGCCUUCUCGUGCGUACUGUCAAAAGGCUUUCCUUGACAACUUUGCCUUCUCGUGUGUACUGUCACAAGGUUUUCCUUGACAAGUUUUCCUUGACAACUUUGCCUUCUCGUGCGUACUGUCAAAAGGUUUUCCUUGACUUUGCCUUCUCGUGCGUACUGUCAAAAGGUUUUCCUUGACUUUGCCUUCUCGUGCGUACUGUCAAAAGGUUUUCCUUGACUUUGCCUUCUCGUGCGUACUGUCAAAAGGUUUUCCUUGACAACUUUGCCUUCUCGUGUGUACUGUCAAAAGGUUUUCCUUGACAAGUUUUCCUUGACAACUUUGCCUUCUCGUGCGUACUGUCAAAAGGUUUUCCUUGACAAGUCAGUUUCUUUGACAAAUUUAUCUUCUCGUGCGUACUGUCAAAAGGUUUUCCCCGACAAGUUUUCCUUGACAAGUUUCCCUCGACAAUUUUUUGUUGCUCAUGUGCACGGAAUGUUGUUCAACAUCUCACGUCAAGGCCACUUUUUGUUUGCCAAAACCAUAGACGAAUUUCUUGUACACUUGUCAACUUUUCC